rfam:Xylella fastidiosa 9a5c, complete genome.
AGGCCAAGUAAGGCUCGCUACAUGCCCUCAAGCGGCGGACUGCCUCGUCGGGUCCGCCGUUCUUUU